GGACAAGAGUGUUUGUGGAUGAACUGAUGACAGGAAACGUCUCCAUGAAAAUCUUCAAAGUGAAAGUUUCUGAUACAGGAAGAUACCAAUGUGUCCUUCCCUCAUUACAGAAGGAAGCUUCCAUCCAGCUCAUUGUUGGAUCUGAUGUGUGAACUGGGGUGGCCAGACAUUGGGGAGAGUCUGAUGUGAUUGGCUCAGACAAACCAGUUACAGUAACAGUCGGUGAUAACACCAUCCUGCCAUGUCACCUGGAGCCGCCAUUUGAUGUGAGGACUCUAACAGUGGAGUGGAAACGUG